UAGGGAAUCUUCCACAAUGGACGCAAGUCUGAUGGAGCAACGCCGCGUGAGUGAAGAAGGUUUUCGGAUCGUAAAGCUCUGUUGUUGGUGAAGAAGGAUAGAGGUAGUAACUGGCCUUUAUUUGACGGUAAUCAAUCAGAAAGUCACGGCUAACUACGUGCCAGCAGCCGCGGUAAUACGUAGGUGGCAAGCGUUGUCCGGAUUUAUUGGGCGUAAAGCGAGCGCAGGCGGAAGAAUAAGUCUGAUGUGAAAGCCCUCGGCUUAACCGAGGAAAUGCAACGGAAACUGUUUAACUUGGGUGCAGAAGAGGAGAGUGGAAUUCCAUGUGUAGCGGUGGAAUGCGUAAGUAUAUGGAAGAACACCAGUGGCGGAGGCGACUCUCUGGUCUGCAACUGAAGCUGGGGCUCGAAAGCAUGGGUAGCGAACAGG
rnacentral:rRNA from 1 species